rnacentral:misc_RNA from 1 species
ACCGUAGGGGGCUCUUGCCCCUGAAACAGUAACCCUUGUCUAUAAGCACUUUGUUUCCUCGGCAAGCUUGCUUGCCAAUGAGGACUACACCCAACCAUUUUGUAGUAGUAGUAGCCGUAAAUAAACAAAAAUCAAAACUUUCAACAACGGAUCUCUUGGUUCUGGCAUCGAUGAAGAACGCAGCGAAAUGCGAUAAGUAGUGUGAAUUGCAGAAUUCAGUGAAUCAUCGAAUCUUUGAACGCACAUUGCGCCCUGUGGUAUUCCGCAGGGCAUGCCUGUUCGAGCGUCAUUUAAACCCCUCAAGCUCUGCUUGGUGUUGGGCGCUUGUCCUGCCUUUCUGGUAAGGACUCGCCUUAAAUAUAUUGGCAGCCGUCACCCUGGCUUCGAGCGCAGCACAUUUGCGCCUGAUUUCUGGUGACAGUUUUCCAAAAGCCUAUUUUUUUUAUUGACCUCGGAUCAGGUAGGGAUACCCGCUGAACUUAAGCAUAUCAAUAAGCGGAGGAAAAGAAACCAACAGGGAUUGCCCUAGUAACGGCGAGUGAAGCGGCAACAGCUCAAAUUUGAAAUCUGGCUCCUUUGGGGGUCCGAGUUGUAAUUUGUAGAGGGUGCUUUGGUAUUAGCUGUGGUCUAAGACCCUUGGAACAGGGCGUCACAGAGGGUGAGAAUCCCGUAUGUGGCCAGCAGCUCUUGCCUUGUAAAGCCGCUUCGACGAGUCGAGUUGUUUGGGAAUGCAGCUCUAAAUGGGAGGUAAAUUUCUUCUAAAGCUAAAUACUGGCCAGAGACCGAUAGCGCACAAGUAGAGUGAUCG